GCUAGGCAUGGUGGCUCAUGCCUGUAAUCCCGGCAGCUUGGGAGGCUGAGGCAGGAGUAUUGCAAGUUUGAGGCCAGUCUCAGCAAUUUAGCAAGGUCCUAAGCAAUUUAGUGAAACCCUGUCCCAU
rnacentral:sRNA from 1 species